rnacentral:rRNA from 1 species
AACGAACGCUGGCGGCGUGCCUAACACAUGCAAGUCGUGCGAGAAAGUUCCUUCGGGAGCGAGUAAAGCGGCGCACGGGUGAGUAACACGUAGGUAACCUGCCCCCCAGUCUGGAACAACUAGAGGAAACUCUAGCUAAUGCCGGAUAAGACCACGGCCCCCUCGGGGGCUGCGGCCAAAGAUGGCCUCUACUUGUACGCUAUCGCUGAGGGAUGGGCCUGCGGGCCAUUAGCUUGUUGGUGAGGUAACGGCUCACCAAGGCUGUGAUGGCUAGCUGGUCUGAGAGGAUGACCAGCCACACUGGGACUGAGACACGGCCCAGACUCCUACGGGAGGCAGCAGUGGGGAAUAUUGCGCAAUGGGCGAAAGCCUGACGCAGCGACGCCGCGUGGGUGAUGAA